rnacentral:rRNA from 1 species
CGGUGAAAUCAUAGUACCUGUGAAGAUGCAGGUUACCCGCGACAGGACGGAAAGACCCCGUGGAGCUUUACUGUAGCCUGAUAUUGAAAUUCGGCACAGCUUGUACAGGAUAGGUAGGAGCCUUUGAAACGUGAGCGCUAGCUUACGUGGAGGCGUUGGUGGGAUACUACCCUAGCUGUGUUGGCUUUCUAACCCGCACCACUUAUCGUGGUGGGAGACAGUGUCAGGCGGGCAGUUUGACUGGGGCGGUCGCCUCCUAAAAGGUAACGGAGGCGCUCAAAGGUUCCCUCAGAAUGGUUGGAAAUCAUUCAUAGAGUGUAAAGGCAUAAGGGAGCUUGACUGCGAGACCUACAAGUCGAGCAGGGUCGAAAGACGGACUUAGUGAUCCGGUGGUUCCGCAUGGAAGGGCCAUCGCUCAACGGAUAAAAGCUACCCCGGGGAUAACAGGCUUAUCUCCCCCAAGAGUUCACAUCGACGGGGAGGUUUGGCACCUCGAUGUCGGCUCAUCGCAUCCUGGGGCUGUAGUCGGUCCCAAGGGUUGGGCUGUUCGCCCAUUAAAGCGGUACGCGAGCUGGGUUCAGAACGUCGUG